rnacentral:rRNA from 1 species
AGGCUUGUAUGAAUGGUUGAAUGAGAUAAAAAUUGUCUUAAUAUAAAAUAAAAUUGAAUUUUAAAUUUUAAUAAAAAUGUUAAAAUAUAAAUAAAAGACGAGAAGACCCUAUAAAUCUUUUUUUUUAAUUAAUUAUAUUUUUGCAUAAAUCAUUAAAUUUAAUUAAUUAAAAAAUUUUAUUGGGGUGAUAAUGAAAUUUAAUUAACUUUCAUAAAAUAAAUGAUAUAUAUAUAAAUAAAUAAUUGAUCCAUUAUUAAUGAUUAAUAAAAUAAGUUACUUUAGGGAUAACAGCGUA